rnacentral:rRNA from 1 species
UUGGAGGGCAAGUCUGGUGCCAGCAGCCGCGGUAAUUCCAGCUCCAAUAGCGUAUAUUAAAGUUGUUGCAGUUAAAAAGCUCGUAGUUGAAUUUCGGGAUUAGUACGCUGGUCGUGCCUUCGGUACGUACUGGUGUUACUGAUUCCUACCUUCUGACGAACCAUCAUGUCAUUAAUUUGGUGUGGCGGGGAAUCAGGACUGUUACUUUGAAAAAAUUAGAGUGUUUAAAGCAGGCUCGCGCUUGGAUACAUUAGCAUGGAAUAAUGAGAUAGGACGUUGAUCCUAUUUUGUUGGUUUCUAGGAUUGACGUAAUGAUUAAUAGGGAUAGUUGGGGGCAUUAGUAUUCAAUUGUCAGAGGUGAAAUUCUUGGAUUUAUUGAAGACUAACUACUGCGAAAGCAUUUGCCAAGGAUGUUUUCAUUAAUCAAGAACGAAAGUUAGGGGAUCGAAGACGAUCAGAUACCGUCGUAGUCUUAACCAUAAACUAUGCCGACUAGGGAUCGGAUGAUGUUAUUUUUAAUGACUCAUUCGGCGCCUUACGGGAAAC